UACGGGGGGGGCAAGCGUUGUUCGGAAUUACUGGGCGUAAAGGGCCAGUAGGCGGCCAACUAAGUCCGACGUGAAAUCCCCAGGCUUAACCUGGGAACUGCGUCGGAUACUGGAUGGCUUGAAUUCGGGAGAGGGAUGCAGAAUUCCAGGUGUAGCGGUGAAAUGCGUAGAUAUCUGGAGGAACACCGGUGGCGAAGGCGGCAUCCUGGACCGGUAUUGACGCUGAGGCGCGAAAGCCAGGGGAGCAAACGGG
rnacentral:rRNA from 1 species